CAGGGAUUCUGCAUUGAUGGAGUCCACAAGAAAGAAGAGACAGAAAACCAGGCAGAUUCAUUAUGGACAGAAGAAUCACAGUAACUCCUACUCUGUCUUUUCCCAGGUGGAGGCGGGGCCAGGCCCAUAUACCUGUGUGGAGAAACUAAUCCCAAUCACAGCAGAAUGAAACAACUUCCGGAACCCAUGGGCAGGGGAAUGACUCAGUCAGUCAGCGAUCGUGUGUGCCAUACAUCUGAGUGACUCAAGCCAAAGCAGAAAAUGAAUUAAGAAGCCAUUCCAGUUAUGGGACAAAAUGUAGAAGAGUAGCCUGAGAUGGAAACCCAAAAAAGGAAAAAAAAGUUCCUCAGAUAGAAAAGCAUCAGAACCAGAGGCAAGGAGGUGGUGAGUAGAAGAACUUGACAGAGAGGGGGAAAGUGGAUGAGGAGAAAUUGCACCACUGGAGUAGUGCCAAGGAACUGGGGCUCCUCCAAGCUCUGACUGUAGGCUUUGUGAGUAACAGCCCCACUUUUUGUGCAUUUACCAUUAUUCCAGGCUCUGUCCUAGGAGAUAUGCAGGUCUCUCUGAAACCUCCCAACAUCCUCUGAGGUAGUUCUCUCUCUUUUACAGAUCUGGAAACAAAGACUCUACAAGAUUAAGUAAUAACAGCUAGUAAGUGGUAGAUUCGGGAUUCAGAUUCCUAUCUCUCAAGUUUGACUCUUUUCACCCACCCAGUCUGCCUUCCUAUUCGUCUUCUCUGAAGAUGAAGCCUAAAGGCGAAGGCACUGAGGGAAACCACAAAUAGUGGCUAGAAUAGGGCUAGAAAGAAGUAGAACAUAGAGAGGAAGAGGGAGUACGGUGCAAGGGCUCACACUCUAGCUUUGGGACUAGACAGAUCUGCACUCAGACCUGUGUUUCUCUACUUAGGAGAUAUGUGGUCCAGGACAAAUCACACAAUCUGACCCCAAUUUCCAUGUGUGCAUAAGGAUAUUAACAGCUACCUUCCAGUGUUACUAAGAAUAUAGAUAUAUUUUUAUUUUAGAACUAGGGGUUUUUUUUUUAGUACAUUUGUUAGCAAAUAGAUAUUCAACAAUAAAGGUGAUAGUGGGUGAUGAUGCGGUGGAGAAAAUCCUGAGACCCUAGUAGUCAAGGAGCCAGAAAGAGAACAUUUAACAGCUUUCAGUAGGUUUCAAGCCCCAGGUUUGAAUCAAACCUACACCCAAUACAAAGAGAAUCUGCCACUGUCCGUUGCCAACCAGGAAUGUGAAACUGGGGAGGUAUGUGAAAAGCAACUGAGCAACUUCUGAUCCUAUUUUCAAAAACAGAAUAAUAUAUAUAUGUACUCCAGAAACCCUAGGCUUUCAAGCUUAUGGUUGAACCUAUAUGUAUACAACCUUUGGACACCGCAACAGAGCAUUCCUUUUUAAUUCAGAGACAAAAUAAACAAGGCUACCCGCCCUGAGGGUUACCCAACAAAAAUCAAUACAUAAUGCUGGAGUUGAGACCAGAGUAUUCAAAGACACCUUGAAGAGACCAAGUGAUGCAAAGGUUCCAGUAGAUUUCACUGAAACUAAUGAAACGUAUUUACAGCACUAAAGGAAAGACACAAAGAGGGGGCUGACAGGAAAUAAGACAAAUGCGGGAAGGGAUGAAUGAAUGUCAAACUGUCAGGAGCAGAGCAGACAGUAAUUCUUUACUAAGAAGAGUAUGCUCUAGUCCAAGUACCUGAACUAAAAGCUCCUUGAAGACAGGAACUAUUCUUUCUCACCUUUGCAUCUUCAGGAACUAACACAGUGCCUGGCACAUAGUAGCAACUUAAUAUGUCAAAGCCCCACUGUAUGCUUUCUGGGAAGCCAGGACUAUGAUGACUGACUUCACAAAGGAUGUGCUGUUCCCUGUACUCUGCCUUACAUGUCAAUCAAAAAUAUUCCCUGGUUCUCUGUGACUCUUAGUCCAAAGCCCUAAGUCCUGUUAGUGUGGUAUUUCAGCCCCAUUCCAUUUUCCCUUUCCAGGGUAGGUUCCCAUUCCUUCUCCUAAGUCAAUUCUCUCUUCCUGCCAAAAUGAUCUAUCCAAGCCCAAAACCAAGCCACCUUACAUUCUCUCAACACUUUUUCCCUACAUGAUUUGUCUCAACCAUAAAUGCUCUCUGUUUUUCUGUACCUUUUAAGGUCCCGUCUCUAGAAAUGUCCCCUGGACACCUCAGAAGAAUUUUCACUCUCCCACUUUCAAACUCUUUGAGCUCUUGUUUCUCUACUACUCAUUCAGCAUUCACCAAAUACCAUCUUGUGUUGACAUUUGUGUUUUUUCAAAUGACUGUCUUACCUCCCCUGAUGAACUACAAACAUCACGUCUUAUUCAUCACAGCAUCCUGCCUUGGGCCUUGCACAGAGUUAGCACUUAAUAAAUGUUUGUUGCUGCUAUUAAUGAUGAAAAACAAAUGCUUUGGUAAUUCUGAGGCAUCUGACAUGCCCAACCCACCCACACUCUAUGUCAUCAUUUCUUCCACUGGAGGUAAACAAUGUCUCUUCCACCAGCAGUUUCCACCCAGUCCCUCCCUGUGCCCUGGCUAACCGGGGACAAAAGGAAAUACUUGUUUGUCUCAGCCUGGAUGGGAAUCUCCAGCCUGUCAGAGGCUCACAGACUCUCACAUCCCUAGCAGCCACCUCUCUAGGCCUGCUUUUGGUUGUCAACCAGCUACAGGAUCUUCUAAAAGGCAUUAAACAGCCAUGCGGCUCUGGCCCUAAAUUUCAUUGCCCUUUCACAUAAGGUUGUCAUUAAGAUAAACGAGAUCAUAGAUCUGAAAAUGCUAUGAAAAAAAAUCAAAAUUUAUACACAAAAGAAAAGUGUUUUAAGGAACCAACUUAGCCUUUUCUGCCCUUUAGGAGAUCACUUGGUUUGGUACCCUGGCAACCCAACCACCUAGAACUGUCCCCUUUUCUUUUUUUAAUGUUUGUUUAUUUGUGAGAGAGAGACACAGAGUGUGAGCAGGGGAGGGGCAGAGAGAGAGGAAGACAC